CCAGCUUCGACAUCAGAUAAUGAACUGGCCAGACAAUAACCUUGCAAGAGACCACAAAAGGCAGAAGUUGCUGAAAUAGAAGGCCUUGGUUCUUUGCCUCCUCAUCAGUUGUUGUUUUCAUUCCUGCGGACAAUCCAAAAGCUGCUCGCAUUCUGCAGAAGAGCUCCCAUAUUAUUGAUAUCUCUCAUCUUGACAACACCAUUGUCUGAAUAUUCUGCUCCCUGACAUAUGCUACGAUGCAAGUUGAUUACACUUCUUCCCUCCUCACCCUCACCCUUCUGCUCAUAGCUGCUUCAUGCAAUGGUCUUCAAAGUGCCAACCCAACACCAACUUAUGAAGUGAUCAAUGUUAUAUCUGCUUGCAACUGCCCCCUGACCUGUCCAAAAGCCAUGACAGGUUUGAUGUUCGGUGGAAUCCUUGGGAUCUGCAUUAUCCUUCCUGCCCUCACGUGUUUAUAUGACACAUUGCUACAGUGGACAUUCGAGAGGAGGCGGCGCAUGAGAAGGCUUCGGCUGCUGAAACUCCGAAAGAUGGCUUUGUUGACAGACACAAAAGGAGUGAACACUAGAACGGUAUUACCAUCAGUGAAGCGACGGGUGGUAUUUGCUACUCUGAAAGAAUCCUCUUCUUUGGAACAGAAAAGCUAGAGAAGACUAUAUGACAUCACUUUUCCUCUUCUAUUACUUGCUCAUCCGUUAUAUCAGCUCAGCUGUUUAAUUCGUGUAUUUCGGUAACAAUAUCACAUAUGUACUAAAUAUUGAAAACUUUUGAAUAAAAUUGUAAACAGAAUAUUUCAAAUCAAUUUAUGUUUCAAUGGUAGUCCCCAAAGUGUAUGAAAUAAAUGAAUUAUACCCUUCUGUUCUAUUCGUGAAUCAUUUAUCGAUCUUUCAGUUUUCAUAACUGUAACAAUGGAUUUACCAUUUUUUUAUACAUUAUUAUGAAAUCAAUUACAUUUAUAUUCUAACUGUUAGAUUAUAGGCAGGCUAUCUCAUGUUAAGUGUGCCAAGAUUAAAAUGUGCUCUCACAUUUCCACACCGUGGUUGUUCACCAUGUAAAAGGCACCAUUAUGAGCUCUUACAUGUGAUGGGCCCAUUGUUAAUUGCACUUGCAACCAUUGGUGGGUCCACGGCUUCCUGCAUUCUAGAAACAAGUGUCAUUCACAGAGGGAUCUUGUUUAGUACUGGAUCCCAUCGGAGGCUAGACCCAUGACAUAAGCCUCUAUUCAGUCGAAUCAUUUUGGUAGGGCAGCUAAAUAGGCCCCAUGCACACCCACUGAGUACUUAAGCAAACAUACUUUUUUUAGAAUCCUUAAGGUGUCUGGUUAACAUUUUUAGAUGUUAACAAGAAAAUUAGGUUGGUCUUGGGGUCUAUUUGGCUGCCAUCUUGGAUUUUGACAUGCCUAAUUACCGAAAAACAAAUUUUCAUAACUUUUGAACCAAACAUGCUAGAAAUACAAUUAAAACAUCUAUUCCAUACAGUUUUGACAUGACAAAUUUAUUUAUAAUAUCAUUUUUUAUAUUUGAUAAUGUUUUAUGGGUCAUACUUCUCAAAAAUGUCAGUGCUUCCUCUGCACUCACCAUCUUCUGCAGCAUCAGUGUGCGCACUUCAUCCACACCAGAGAAGCGAGGAUAGCCAUACAUCAGGCAGACAAACUCUUCCAGACAGUCAUACAGCUUGUCUUUCACCCUCCGAUAUACACCAAGCUGCUUGAGUGCUGCCUGGAACCUUGGGUACUUCUGGAGUUGCUUCAGUGGACCAAUCUUUCCUUUGCCUUUGAAGGCACUGGUGCAAUCUUCUCCAGUAAAACAAUAGAGACCCAUAAUUGCUGUACAGUGGACACGUCCAGGUGUGCGAGCAACAGAAGUGGCAUCCACAAUAUACAGCAAGGGUAGUGCAAAGUACUGGUAACAUCCUCUGUGGUAACCAAUGCCAUCCAGUUCAACACCUUCUAAUGACUUAGGUAUCUGACUGCAUAUAUUUUGCAUAUGAUAGGAAGACCCUGAAGGUUCAGCUAAACGUUUAUCACGGAUGUCAUGCAGGAAGGCCAGUUUCUCAAUGGGAUCUGCUUUGAUACUGCUAAAUGAUGUAAAAUUCCCAUAAUUAUUAAAACCAGUCACAUGCAAGAUACAGUUGGGGGAAGAGACUUUUUCAAGUCAACUCGACUUUCAGUGCUCAGGCGUUUUUUUUUUCCUUUAGGCAUAGUUGGGUUAGUUUCUACUUGACUAUGAUGUGAAUCCUCCACCAAAUAAGCAAUAUGUCUAUCUACAUUCUACCAAUUAGUUUCUCACCAUCAACAUUGCAUGCACCUGAAACCAGAAAAAAAUAUGAUGAAGCAAUUGAGGAAAAAUCGUUUACAGAGGUAAUAAUGCUGUUGGUCAGUUUACAUACAGCGAAUGACCACCGCUGCCUCAACAGACACAAGUUAGUAAGGCCCAUACAAUGUUAAAAUUAAAGUAACAAAGGUUUUGUUCAGUUUCCAUGUAGUAAAUGACCACUGAUUCUUCAACAGACUCGAGUCAAUAAGGCCCAUACAUUGAAACAAUGUAAAAAAAUCUUAACACCUGAAACAAACAGAAAGUAUUAUUUCGUGUUCUAGGAAGGGAAGGUAAGUAUAACACAGCAACAAUGGGAAAUAGCAUAAAUUCCUAUUAUUGUAUUUGAUUUAAAAUUCAAGUUCCAGGAUCUUAUCACUUAAUCAAGUUGCCUCAUUUUAGGGAACUUCUACUUCAUACAUAAGGUGAGUGAGACUAUUCUUACCCAGGCCCAACACGGACUAAGAGUUCUAGAAAGACUGACAAACAUGUCACAAGGUUACAAAAUUUUACAAGGAAUGACCAUUGCUGACAUAGUUAUCAGAUGCCAGUAAGCAAGGCCUAUACAAUAUGAAAUAAGAGUUACAA
ensembl:lincRNA